rnacentral:lncRNA from 1 species
UGAAAGGUCUGCCAAAUAUUAACUGCAAUUAUUCUUAGAAAAAUUAUUUUUUUGACGGGGUAAAUUUGAUCUAAUGUAUAGUACUAUAUGAAAUAAAUCAUUCAUUUUUACCAAAAAAAAUAUUCGUAAGGAAUAUAACGUUUAAACCGUUGUCACAUAUAGAGCAUGGAUGGAAAAUAUCAAAAUAUAAAGUAAAUAAGAGGAAAAGAAAAAAGAUGAAAAUGAAAAGAAAAAAAUGAGAGAGAGAAUAAAC